rnacentral:rRNA from 1 species
UGGGGAAUAUUGGACAAUGGGCGAAAGCCUGAUCCAGCAAUGCCGCGUGUGUGAAGAAGGCCUUCGGGUUGUAAAGCACUUUUAUCAGGAGCGAAAUACCAUCGGUUAAUAACCGGCGGGGCUGACGGUACCUGAGGAAUAAGCACCGGCUA